UUAAGAUAAGGAAUUUCUUUUUCACAAAAAACCUGCUGAAUGAAUACUUAUAAGUACUCUUAUAGUCAGCAUUCUAGGGCAAGAAUGCCACAAAGGCCAUUAUUACCUGAAAACUCUUCAAACAGGAAGUGUCUUUGUUUGUGUCACUAAGCCUAGAUUUAGACUUAAUUGCCAGCACACCCAUCUAGUGAGACUUGAAGAUGGAAACUAACUAACUUAUGCCAUAUAACUACCAGCUUUGGGUAUAUUUUUGAGUUGGUCACAGUCACUGCUUUUACCCUUUUUAUUUCUUUGUAACAUAACUAAUAUUUUUAUACUGCUGCUGUUUGUUCCUUUCUGGCCCUGACCGGUUUGUUCUGGUGCUGUUAUCUCCACUAAUAAUAAUAAUCGCGUCAGCUGACAGCCCAUGUGUAAGCAGCAUUCUUUCAUCCUCACAUGACAGCCAUGUCACUCAGUUUUCUGUUGUUGUUUUUUUUUUUUCCUCCUCCCUUUCCUUUGUAUUUAUCUUAUUUUGUUUCAAGCAUUUUAAUUUAUUUACCUAAAUGUGUCAUCUCUGCCUUCUCUAGCUGCCUCCUUUUAAUCUAUAUCACUGUGAUGGCCUCAUUAGCGUCCUCUGCUUUUUCUAAAAUAAUCUGGUUGUUUUUGUCCUCUACAUUAUCCGUGUAACAGUUUUAUAUAUAUUUAUAAGUCACUCUCUAUCUUUACAACUGUUAGCUGCAGUCAGAUGAUAUAUAUAUACGUGCACUUACUGGCAUUUAAAGAUUGUUUUAAUAUAAAAUCUCACUGGAUCAUCUAUUGCUGUUAUCACGUUCACCUGUUCUCACUUGCUCUUGCAUAUGAGAAAAUGACUUUUCUCUACCAUUGCUUCACACAUCUGUCUUAACCUGCCUAAUCUUUCUCUGUACCUCAGCUGUCUUUCUUUUGGUCCUUGUUGUCCUCCAUAAUAUACCCUGCCUCCCUUCCUCCUGUCUUUCAUGUCUUUUGACUUCUCAUUAUACACUUCCCUGUUCUUUCUCCUCUCAUUUUAC
ensembl:lncRNA